rnacentral:rRNA from 1 species
GAUGAACGCUGGCGGCGUGCCUAAUACAUGCAAGUCGAGCGAAUGGAUUGAGAGCUUGCUCUUAUGAAGUUAGCGGCGGACGGGUGAGUAACACGUGGGUAACCUGCCCAUAAGACUGGGAUAACUCCGGGAAACCGGGGCUAAUACCGGAUAACAUUUUGAACCGCAUGGUUCGAAAUUGAAAGGCGGCUUCGGCUGUCACUUAUGGAUGGACCCGCGUCGCAUUAGCUAGUUGGUGAGGUAACGGCUCACCAAGGCAACGAUGCGUAGCCGACCUGAGAGGGUGAUCGGCCACUCUGGGACGGAGACACGGCCCAGACUCCUACGGGAGGCAGCAGUAGGGAAUCUUCCGCAAUGGACGAAAGUCUGACGGAGCAACGCCGCGUGAGUGAUGAAGGCUUUCGGGUCGUAAAACUCUGUUGUUAGGGAAGAACAAGUGCUAGUUGAAUAAGCUGGCACCUUGACGGUACCUAACCAGAAAGCCACGGCUAACUACGUGCCAGCCGCCGCGGUAA